rfam:TPA: Bos taurus chromosome 4, whole genome shotgun sequence.
UCCCUGGUGGCUCAGUCAGUAGAGAAUCUGUCUGCAAUGCAGGAGACCCAGGUUCCAUCCCUGGUUUGGGAA